GAUGAAGAACGUAGCGAAAUGCGAUAAGUAAUGUGAAUUGCAGAAUUCAGUGAAUCAUCGAAUCUUUGAACGCACAUUGCGCCCGCCAGUAUUCUGGCGGGCAUGCCUGUUCGAGCGUCAUUUCAACCAUCAAGCCCCAGGCUUGUGUUGGGGACCUGCGGCUGCCGCAGGCCCUGAAAACCAGUGGCGGGCUCGCUAGUCACACCGAGCGUAGUAGCAUACACAUCGCUCAGGGCGUGCUGCGGGUUCCGGCCGUUAAACCCCUUUUUUACCCAAGGUUGACCUCGGAUCAGGUAGGAAGGCCCGCUGAACUUAAGCAUAUCAAUAAGCGGAGGA
rnacentral:misc_RNA from 1 species